rnacentral:rRNA from 1 species
GACGAACGCUGGCGGCGUGCUUAACACAUGCAAGUCGAACGGACAGGCCCUGCUCUUGUUUCUUUCUCGUUUGCCGCACAGGUGAGUAACACGUGUGUAUCAUGCCCUUGUCUUUGGGAUAACUUUUGGAAACUGGGUCUAUUACCCGAUAUGAUCUCCUGCUCCAUAUUGUGGAUUGGUAAAAUUCGGCGGUUGUGUCUCUACUCGCGGCGUAUCAGCUUGAUGAUGUGGUAGUGGCUUUCCAAGGCUUUGACGGGUAGCCGGCCUGAGCGGGUGACCGGCCACAUAGGGACUGAGAUACGGCAGAGACACCUAAGGGAGGGAGCAGUGGGGAAUAUUGCAGAAUGGGCGGAAGGCUGAUGAAGCAACGCCGCGGGCGGGAUGACGGCCUUAGGGGUGUAAACCGCUUUCGCCUGUGACGAAGCGUGAGUGAAGGGAAUGGGUAAAGAAGCACAGGCUAAAUAAGUG